rnacentral:rRNA from 1 species
UGGGGAAUUUUGGACAAUGGGCGCAAGCCUGAUCCAGCCAUGCCGCGUGCAGGAUGAAGGCCCUCGGGUUGUAAACUGCUUUUGUACGGAACGAAAAGCCUCUUUCUAAUAAAGAGGGGUGAUGACGGUACCGUAAGAAUAAGCACCGGCUAACUACGUGCCAGCAGCCGCGGUAAUACGUAGGGUGCGAGCGUUAAUCGGAAUUACUGGGCGUAAAGCGUGCGCAGGCGGUCUUGCAAGACAGUGGUGAAAUCCCCGGGCUCAACCUGGGAACUGCCAUUGUGACUGCAAGGCUGGAGUACGGCAGAGGGGGAUGGAAUUCCGCGUGUAGCAGUGAAAUGCGUAGAUAUGCGGAGGAACACCGAUGGCGAAGGCAGUCCCCUGGGCCUGUACUGACGCUCAUGCACGAAAGCGUGGAGAGCAAACA